rnacentral:tRNA from 1 species
UCCGGUGUGGUCUAGUGGCUAGGAUACCUGGCUUUCACCCAGGAGGCCCGGGUUCGAUUUCCGGUACCGGAA